UACGAAGGGUGCAAGCGUUAUUCGGAUUUAUUGGGUGUAAAGGGUGCGUAGACGGCAUGUUAAGUCCGCUGUUAAAUUUCCUAGCUUAACUAGGAGCCAGCGGUGGAUACUGAUGUGCUAGAGGAUGGAAGAGAGAAGUGGAAUUCCCGGAGUAGCGGUAAAAUGCGUAGAUAUUGGGAGGAACACCAGUGGCGAAGGCGGCUCACUGGACCGGUACUGACGCUGAGGCGCGAAAGCGUGGGGAGCAAACGGG
rnacentral:rRNA from 1 species